rnacentral:ncRNA from 1 species
UUAAACGCUGUGAUUAGGAGUAGUAAGGAUCAUUUAUUGUUAAGAGAGCUGUUGGUUGGUGUAAAACAGUCAAUAAAUCCCUGAACUCACCUAGGAGUGGUAAGGCUGAGGUUGUCUUAACCUAAGUUUUAACGGUUUACCCCGUAAUCGGUUUAGAGUGGGUUUGUUUAUGUAAGUAUCAAACCAAAAAGAGUGGUACCACGAAGGUAAAACCUGUCGUCUCUUAU